rnacentral:rRNA from 1 species
AUUGAACGCUGGCGGCAGGCCUAAAACAUGCAAGUCGAACGAGUGGCGGACGGGUGAGUAAUGUCUGGGAAACUGCCCGAUGGCGGGGGAUAACUACUGGAAACGGUAGCUAAUACCGCGUACCAUCGGAUGUGACCAGAUGGGAUUAGCUUGUAGGUGAGGUAACGGCUCACCUAGGCGCCGAUCCCUAGCUGGUCUGAGCGGUUGACCCGCCACACUGGAACUGAUACACGGUCCAGACUCCUCCGGGAGGCACAAGUGGGGAAUAUUGCGCAAUGGGCGGAAGUCUGACGCAGCCAUGCCGCGUGGAUGAAGAAGGCCUUCGGAUUGUAAAUUACUGUCAUCAGGGAGGCGUUACCCGCAGAGGAAGCCCCGGCUAACUCCGUGCCAGCAGCCGCGGUAAUUC